GCAUACCAACGGGUCCCGGAGUCAAUCCUGGGUCUCUUCUUAUGUACACCGGAUGGAAGGAUGGGUGGACGGACAGACAGGCAGGCAGGCAGACAGGCAGACAGGCAGGCAGGCAGGCAGGCAAAUGCAUCCAUUAGGAGGCAAUGACAAACGAUUUCCGUACCGCUGUGAACGGCAUGGAUGUGCCAUGUGGCUGGCACGGCAGAGGGGAGGGGAGGGGAGGGGAAGGGAGGGGGCGGUGAUUCCCCGGCAGACAAUUCAGCGAAGUGUUAUUUAUUUGCCAGCAGCCGUCAAAGCCAAGCGGCGGGAAAGCCUUGAUGGCGGGGAGGGGUUCUUGGUCUGUGCAGGCAAGGCAGCCUGACGCACCAGAACCCCUGUGCAGCCUGUUUUCGGGCUCGGACCUGCGCAGCGUAGCCGAGCUGUUAGAGGGGAUUUGGGCUGCGCAAAACCUGGGCGCGCGCAACGGGCAAGCCCCGGCUACCAGGGCGAGCGAGACCCCAGGAAGGUCUCUCCACCGCGGGGCCCAGAGGGAGCUGCCGGCCGGCUUGGCUGGUCCAGGAACGAAGGAACGGGGAGGAAGAAGGGAACCCUGGUUCUGUCCUUCGCCCCGCUGCCACCGUCCACUCACCGCGCGUUUGCUUCGAUGGCGCCUCCUUUCCUGUACAAGCGGCAGCUAAAUCGGGGUGCUGGGACAGGGUGGAUGUACCCUCUGCCCCAGCCCCGGUUCAGUGCCACUUGCGUUUCUAGAAAUUUGCGUGUGAAUAGUCCUCCCCCACAUAUCGGAGGAUGCGUCCCACGUCGUAAAUUUAACCCGCAUUGGAUGAGAACAGAGGACUGAGAACCUGCUUCUAUGGUUCCCACAUUUGCAUGAUAACACGGACUCAGUUUGGACUUGCUGGUUCUCACACCCCACUUAUUUUUCCUGUGCUUGGCAUGGGGAAACCGUACCUUUCUGUCUCCACCCCUCACCAGUCAGUGAUUCGAUGCAGUCCCAACCUUCAGAUCACAGGGGCUGUGAUCAGCAGAGGUACUCCGCUUCACCUCCCCCUGAGAAAUCCACAAUGGCAUGUGUCCCACUAUGUAGUUGUGUGGUGCCGAUGGCAAAAUUGAUAGUGGCGUGGGUUAUUUGUUGGGGUAAGAGGACUGCACCCCCAAACAGGCGCAGCUGGGGCAUACACCAACCAGCAUGCACCCCGGCAUUCUUGAAGAAAGCUGUACUGUGUUGUUUGCCCUAGAGCUGCUAAAGCACAGUGCCUGUUUUGCUUAAAAGACCUCUUUCUUCUUUUUUGAAACACAUGAAACAUAUAUCUUACUCCCAAAUGGGUGUGCUCAAACAGAUAACCUUUGUUCAUUGCUCUUUGGCUUCCCCCCUUCUUCAAAAGUUUCUUCUGGAUUUCUUGGGUUUUUUGCCCCUCCUGGUUUCCCUUCUUCUUCCGACCUGUCUUCUUUCAUCUUUAUUCUUCAAAUCCAGCAGUAACAGGCUC
rnacentral:lncRNA from 1 species